rnacentral:rRNA from 1 species
UACGGAGGGUGCGAGCGUUGUUCGGAAUCACUGGGCGUAAAGGGCGUGUAGGCGGUCCGCUAAGUCUGAUGUGAAAGCCCGGGGCUCACCCCCGGAAGUGCAUUGGAAACUGGCGGACUCGAGUCCCGGAGAGGAGAGUGGAAUUCCUGGUGUAGCGGUGAAAUGCGUAGAUAUUGGAAAGAACACCGAUGGCGAAGGCACUCUACUGGGCUAUUACUGACACUCAGAGACGAAAGCUAGGGGAGCAAAUGGG